rnacentral:lncRNA from 1 species
AUUAUUCCCACAUCCCCCUUUAAAAAUGUCUGAACCCCCUCAUUUAACCUAGUACGUUGUACUACUUCUUUCUUUCAUCUCCCUCAUCAAACCCUAACGUCGCCUUUCGAAUCUCUGUCAUGUUUGCCAGCGGCGCCACCUCCACUCAACCUCAAAUAAACACCACACAACCCUCACUCACCCCUGACUCCCAAGCCAUCACCAUAUUCCUUCAAAUCAACACCAAACGAAGCCAAUCUUAGAUCUGAAAAAGGCAGAAAAGAAAACAAAAACUCUUUCGAAUUUUUCUCAAUUUUGACAAGAGAUUAGGAGUCAAAGCUGGCCUCGCUCGCCUGUUCUUGACAAGAAUACAUGAUUGAGGCCAAUUUCGGCUCAAAAUCAAUACAUCUGCGUGCUUUCAAUCCAUGCUCGUUUGCAGUUUCCUUUAUGUACUCUCUUUUUUCUAUUUUUCCUGUUCUUUUAUUCUUCUUCUCAUCUUUAUCUCUUUUUGUCUCCUAUUUUCUAUUUUCUUUAUUAUGUUUUCGUUUUUAAGCAGUGUUGUUGCAUGAUUAGACUAAUAGCAAGUUUAGUUAUUUUUGUUUUGGUUCUUAUUAGUUCCUUUCCCCUUUUUGUUUUGGUUUCAUUCCAAGGGUUUCGGAUUUUUCUUUAGGGAAACUCUGCUUAGCCCAUUAAUUUUGUGAGCUUGGAUUUCAAUUGGAAUGUGGGUUCUAUCAACAGAGGCCCAAAGAGGAAAUUAGGUUGUUUGCAAACCCGAUAUGCAGUUGUUGGUUGGGCCAAUUUGACCCAUCUGGUUCCAAGGGUAAAUAACGGGGAUUUUAAGGGUAGUCUAGGAAUUUUAGUUUAGGGAAUCUCUCAUAAUUCACUGAGGAAACUUCCUAAUAAGUGGGUUUGGGACUUUUAAAAAACAUAUUUUAAAUUCAGGGAUUCACUAGCAAAAAUGAGAACUAAAAAAGGAGUAAACGGCAAAAACUGAAAUCAUUUAUGGUACCCUAGAGCUCCUCUAUAAAAGGAAUUUCCUUCCUAACCAAGUGAGAUUUUUUGGAAAAUAAAAAACACUAAAAAGCUUAGAAAAUGGUUGAGUCUAUUUCAAACUCCAAAAAUACUAAAGAUUCUUGAACAAUUUGCUUGGUUUCUGGUUCUUUGAUUCCCUUUGGUUAGUUAGAGUUUCUAAAAGUUCCAAAUUGUGCACCUGGGUCGAAAAUGGUUUGAGUUGGUUUAAAAGUUUGGUUUGAGUUGGUUUAAAAGUUUGGUUUGAGUUGUUGUUCGGCACUAUUCCAUUACUGUUGAUUUACUAUUGUUGCUUCCUUCUAAUCUCAUGCUUUUAUUCUGGUUUAUUUUGUUGUAUUCAGGUACAUGUUUCUGGAUCCUACUUAAUGUGAGGCUCGAUUUGAAGUAUGAAAUUGAAAUAUGGAGCUUUAAGCAUAGCAUCGACUCACUUGCUCAUAAUUUAGUUUUAUUUUCUGCAUUACGUUGUUCUGAAUUGUCUGAUGCAUUGUAUUUUGUCCAGGCUACUGACUGUACUCUCUUAGGGGCUGUAUUUGGUCUUUACUUAAUGUGUAAUUCAAGUUUCUAUCAAGUAUCUUAUAGCUAGAUGUUGGUUUUGACAACUGAACUUUUAUCAUUAUGUUUGAUCUUGGACUAUUAUGAUAGAAACUUGAUGAACAAUAUGCUCAGUAAGAUCAGUAGCUAAUUCUAAACUCAAUCAUGUUGAGAUGGUGUAAGUUUGACUGAAUUUGAACUCUCUCUUCCAUGUAAUUAAUUUGGAUUGUUGUAGCGUUGUUUUUUGUAGACAAGUAGUAUCUUAUCUCAGAAGUUGUUGACUGAAUUGUUUCACAACUAGUAGUCAAUCUACAAUGAGUUUUCUUAUAGUUUUGGUGUGCCUAAUAUAUAAUGUACUUGGAAGUAAAUAUUUGGGUUUGUUUCUUUUCAAAGUUUGGUGCUGGAUGAAACUGCAACUUUAAUAUUGUAAGUACGUGGGUAGAAGUGAAUGGCACAAUGUCUGAUCUUUGAAUGAAUCUCAGAGGGUGG